AGUGAAGCGGCAACAGCUCAAAUUUGAAAGCUGGCCUUCGGGUCCGCAUUGUAAUUUGUAGAGGAUGCUUUGGGGCAGCCGCCUGUCUAAGUUCCUUGGAACAGGACGUCAUAGAGGGUGAGAAUCCCGUAUGUGACAGGACAUGGCACCCUAUGUAAAGCUCCUUCGACGAGUCGAGUUGUUUGGGAAUGCAGCUCUAAAUGGGAGGUAAAUUUCUUCUAAAGCUAAAUACCGGCGAGAGACCGAUAGCGCACAAGUAGAGUGAUCGAAAGAUGAAAAGCACUUUGGAAAGAGAGUUAAAAAGCACGUGAAAUUGUUGAAAGGGAAGCGCUUGCAAUCAGACUUGUUUUGACUGUUCGGCCGGUCUUCUGACCGGUUUACUCAGUCUGGACAGGCCAGCAUCAGUUUUGGCGGCCGGAUAAAGGCUCAGGGAAUGUGGCUCUCACUUCGGUGGGAGUGUUAUAGCCCUGGGUGUAAUACGGCCAGCCGGGACUGAGGUCCGCGCUUCGGCUAGGAUGCUGGCGUAAUGGUUGUAAGCGACC
rnacentral:rRNA from 1 species